CCUACGGGUGGCAGCAGUGAGGAAUAUUGGUCAAUGGACGAGAGUCUGAACCAGCCAAGUAGCGUGAAGGAUGACUGCCCUAUGGGUUGUAAACUUCUUUUAUAAAGGAAUAAAACGAGGCACGUGUGCCUUUUUGCAUGUACUUUAUGAAUAAGGAUCGGCUAACUCCGUGCCAGCAGCCGCGGUAAUACGGAGGAUCCGAGCGUUAUCCGGAUUUAUUUGGUUUAAAGGGUGCGCAGGCGGAUUUUUAAGUCAGCGGUCAAAUCGUGGGGCUCAACCCCAUCCUGCCGUCGGAACUGGGUGCCUUGAGGGGGCGAGAAGUAUGCGGAAUGCGUGGUGUAGCGGUGAAAUGCAUAGAUAUCACGCAGAACCCCGAUUGCGAAGGCAGCAUACCGGCGCCCUACUGACGCUGAGGCACGAAAGUGCGGGUAUCGAACAGGAUUAGAUACCCGAGUAGUC
rnacentral:rRNA from 1 species